CAGUCGCCGCGGGAAUACGAAGGGGGCUAGCGUUGCUCGGAAUGACUGGGCGUAAAGGGCGCGUAGGCGGCGAUCAAAGUCAGGCGUGAAAUUCCUGGGCUCAACCUGGGGGCUGCGCUUGAUACUUGGUUGCUUGAGUGGGGAAGAGGGUCGUGGAAUUCCCAGUGUAGAGGUGAAAUUCGUAGAUAUUGGGAAGAACACCGGUGGCGGAGGCGGCGACCUGGUCCUUGACUGACGCUGAGGCGCGAAAGCGUGGGGAGCAAACAGGAUUAGAUACCCGCGUAGUCCUGUCUCUUAUACA
rnacentral:rRNA from 1 species